CCAAGGUCAGCUGGCUCCCAAGCAAGAGGGCAUGGAAGGGCUGGCGCAGAGCAGCCUGCUCUCUGCACCUCCAGGAAGUGGAAGGCAAGGGGAGGAGGAGCACGAGGGAUGUGCUGUGUGUGCUUCCGGUCACGUCCCCAUUGGCCCACUCCUCCAACCAGGCCAGGUCCCAGCCGAGGGCCCGCUCACCUCACCUCCCAAGGCCCCGCCUAGGAGUGCACAGGGAGGUCAUCUAGAUAAAAACCAGAACACGCGUGUUUACAGUAUUAAAAGGGAGGGGGUGGCCUAUCGUCCAGGAGCUCAGCCUACUGUGUUACAUCUGAAAGACCCUAAUACAGUAAAAGUACUCUGAGAAUCACAAAGAGGUCUGCCCUUUCUUUUUAACUUCUGUCCUGAGCUUAACCUAAAAUCCCAAAGAGGAGGAGGCUGCGUGGCUUGCAUUUGGAUCCCCAAAGUCUCAUGCGUUCACAGCGGGGCUGUUCGAGCCACGAUGCUUAUUUUGUCAUCUUGAAAACCACCAGUAAUAGAGGAGAUUCAAGCAGACGCUGAUUCUCAAUGUCCACCUUUGUCACAGAUGGGAUGCAUGAAUGUCUGUUCUGCAUUUAUGCUCUUACUAUCGGUCACAAUCUGUGUGUGUGAAGUCUUUUGCAGAAACAUCACGGCAACGCAGAAGUUCAAAGAAAAGCUCCAUCAAACUUGAUGGACUGAUGAGACUCUUACUUCUCAGCAAGCUUAAAGCGUUGUAAAAUGUCUUUCGAAGAUCUGGCUCUAAGACAGUGUAACUGUAGGAGAGAAGAUCCUUCAGCUCAUGAGGAAAGUUACUUAGAUGUCCAGGUAGCAGUGACCAAUCUGGGCCAUAAACACCACCAGCUCUGCCAGUCCUCUGCUGGGUUUACUUGGUUGUAACUUGAAAACCUCCACACUGGAUCAGAUGCGUAACUGCAGUGGGUUGCUGGGCAGCUUGUUGUUGUUCCUGCUGGACACAUUGGCCAAAGACCGGCUGUUCGAGGAGCGCUUCCAGAAAGGCUUGCACGCACUGCGGCUGGACUCCAGCUCCUGAGCCUAGCUUGAAACGGCACGUGGGUGCAGCCAGCAGGAAGGGCCGCAUUGACUUCUAAACUGUGUUCGCUUAUUGGCCUCUGUUCAAAACUAGACUGGUGAAAUCUAAAUCUUACAGCCUAUAGAGAUCAACGGUCCUCUUACAAAUGAAAUGCCACAUUGAUCUCUUGAAAGCCUGCCAAAUGUUUACUUACAUGGAAUAGAUAUUAUGGCUUAAUCUUUACUGCAUUUUUUUCCUGAUGAUGUCUGUGGUCUCUGAAGGGUUUUUUGAAACAAGGUCUUGCUGUCUAGUCCAGCAUGGCCUCAAACUCCUUAUGUAGCCCAGGCUGACUCCAACAUGUGGUCCUCCUCCCUCAGCCUCCCAAGAGCCAGGAUUACAAGUGUGCACCACCAUACUCAAGGGCUCUAAUUGUGAAACUAUUUUUAUUGAAAUGAAUAAUGAUUUUCUUGUUUCCAAAGAAACUUUUCCCGAAAGGAAAAGUAGUUAAAUGAUAUUUUAAAUUAGAAGAUGAAAACAAAGAUUGCCGGGAGCAUGUAUUUUCCCUAAUAAGACAUAAAGGCAUAUUCGCAUAGUAGUUAAGGGCAUGAAUUAUGGUGCCAUGCUGCAUAGCUUUAAAUCCCAGAUUUGCUGCUUAUAAACUGUAUGAUCUUAGACAUGUCAUGUAAUUUCUCUAAACUUUAGCUUUUCUUAUCUGUAAAAGGGGACAAAUGGUUCCUGCCUCACAGGGUCAUCAUGAAGCUGGGUGUGGUGCGCACGCACCAGGCAGCGGCACCACUGAACUAAAUCCCCAGAUCACCCUAGUUCUAAUAUUGGCUCUUCUGCCUCUACUUUAGACUAGAUUAUUCCAUGGACAGACAGUUUGAGUUGCCCAAAGAAUCCCUAUUAUUGAGCUAAAGUCUAGCUUAAGAUGAAGGAUUGUUUAACUCUGAAGGACAUUAAGAAUUUUUAAUGUCCUAUAUAAAUCCUUACACUAGGAAAUCAAAGAUAGAUGCUACACCUUGCUUUUAUUCCUACUUGUGGGAUAGCAGAUAAUUUAUUUGUUUUAACAAGCACUUCUGGUGGUGUGUGCCUGUAAUCCCAGCCACUUGAGAGGCUGAGGCAGGAGGAUUACUUGAGCCUAGGGGCUCAGAAGCAGCUGGGCAACACAGUGAGACACCCUGUUUUUUUAAAAAACAAAACAUUUCUAAGGAAAGAUGCUUGUUUGCUGUGUGCAACAACCAGCAGUUGACUAGAACCUGUUACUAAUUUAUUCCCAAACUCCAGCCGAUUUUGGUUAUGCUCCACUGGGCAUUCGUAACCCUGAAGAGCUAGAAUGAAUUGUCCAGGACACUGAGCAGGGGCCACCUGCCUCAUCAGGGAGAGAGCAGCCAACUGGCACCUAGGGCCUGAAUCAGUGGGGAAGGAAACCACAGAGCCCUUCAGGAUCAAUCUUCAUUUUUCUUUGUCGUCCGAGCUACAAAGAGGCACUGAGGCAUUGCAGAAGCAUAAAUCUUUAAAAAUCUGCAGUGUUAGUCACUCUGCCUUAUUAUAACCCCACUGUGCCUGUGCUUUGUAGGAAAGACUAAAAUCUAGCUGGCCCAGCCCCCACCUAGUAAGCUUGUGAACUCUCAUCAUAAAACAUAGGGCAAUCAAAUCCUCUUGUAGGAGAUGAAUGGAGGACGAGAGGAGCCCAUUCGCCUGCGUAGUAAUCAUUCUCUCCAACCUCCAAGGGAUGCAGCAGGGUGGGAAUGUAAGGAAGACAGCCCUUUGUUUGGCUGGGUGCAGCCGCACUCACCCUGUCUGCAAAGGGCCUCUUCAUGGGAGAUCUUUCAAAAUUACAAAAUGCAGGGCUGGGGAUUUAGCUCAGAGGUUUCGCCGCCUGCUGUGCAAGUGCAAGGUCCCAAGUUCGAUCCCUGGUACCAAAAAAAAAAAAAAUUACAAAAUCCACAAUGACAUUAGUCUAGCUUCUGCUUUAAAGUGAAAAAUGUCACAAAGCUAAUAUUAUAUGGUUCUAUAAAGAAAAACAUACAUGAGCUCUGUUUCAAGGGCCUGUAAAGUCCCCUCUCCAUUAUUUCCAUUUUGUUUUAUUUAUUUGUUUAUUUAUUUUUUGGUACUGGGAUCGAUCUUGGGACCUUGCGCUUGCGAGGCAGGUGGCAGAACCACUGAGCUAAAUCCCCGCCCCUGUUAUUUCUAUUUUAAAUUACUAUGUAUACUCCAUUUGAUUUUAAGGGAAAAAUAUGCUCUUACAAGCUAGAUGUUUUUCAGGAAUUUGGAGAUGUCUGAUGAGAUGGUAAUAAAAUAACAGCUGAAAGCAAUGAGAAACGCUCAUACAUAGCAAUUUUCCCAGCUGUUUUUGCUCUUUUCUCUUUUAUACCCAGGCGAUUUCUGGCUUUUUCUUCAGCACUGAUUCGAAAUCAAUACUCCAGGAGAUCUGGCUUCUGUUGUCCUAAAGGAAAUCCCUUCUCGCCAGGGUGAACCUAGCGUAGCUGGCGCACCAUGGUCUCUGCUGCAGCAGAAGGUGCCAGAGCCUUCUGGGACAUUUUUCUGAUAAUUCCAUAAAUCCCUGACCCGAUGGGUUUUAAAAAUUGAGGUGAUAUUUACAUAAUAUAUCAGUCAUUUUUAAGUGAAUGAUUCAGGACAUUUGGUAUAUUUACAGUGUUGUACAGCGCCUCCAUCUCAUUCCAAAACAUGGCCUUCACUCCAAAAUAAAACCCCACACCCACUGAAUAGUCAGUCACUCCCCACCCCUGGCAGCCCCCAGUCUGCGUUCUGUCCCAGUGGACUUUGGAA
ensembl:lncRNA